rnacentral:rRNA from 1 species
GGGGACCCGCACAAGCGGUGGAUGAUGUGGAUUAAUUCGAUGCAACGCGAAAAACCUUACCUACCCUUGACAUGGACGGAAUCCUGUAGAGAUUUAGGAGUGCUCGAAAGAGAACCGUAACACAGGUGCUGCAUGGCUGUCCUCAGCUCGUGUCGUGAGAUGUUGGGUUAAGUCCCGCAACGAGCGCAACCCUUGUCAUUAGUUGCUACGAAAGGGCACUCUAAUGAGACUGCCCGUGACAAACCGGAGGAAGGUGGGGAUGACGUCAAGUCCUCAUGGCCCUUAUGGGUAGGGCUUCACACGUCAUACAAUGGUACAUACAGAGGGCCGCCAACCCGCGAGGGGGAGCUAAU